GGAAACUACUGUGAUUUAGAUGGGAGAUAUUCGCUUUUUCCUGAAUUUGAACUAUUUUCCCCUCCACCUUUUCUUUAAUGGAUUGAUUUAAUUGGUGUCCUAGUUGAAAUGUCCAUUUGGCUAUCCUCCAUGUCAAACCUCUCUAGUUCAGUCCUAGGCGGUUCUGAUCUGACAAAAACAUCCUUUACAGAUCUUAAGUUUCUUCCCAAAUUAAAAAACAUCUCAAUAUAUGGCAAGCCUACAAAGCAAAAGUCAUUGGUAAGGAAUUUUGCCAAGCAGGUGGUUUCUCGGAGUUGCAGACUCUUAGAAUUGCUUCUAGGUUUCUAGUGGAUUGGACUGAGAUUGUAAAUGGAUCAUUUUAAAGCUUGAAGUUUAGAGUUGAGGUUUCUUUGUGAAGGUUUACAGAACAUUUCCACACUUGAAGAACUCACUUUGAUUCCUUUGCAUGGAGACCUUUCAAGGCAAUUAAAAAGUACAGAAAAUUACAAGAUCAAGCGCAUCUUAGAACUCAGAGCUUACCUUCAAGGUGAUAGGUUUAUUAAGGAGGGAAGUCCAUGAGAUGUAUUGCAACAUGCUUGACUCCCCCUAGCUAGAAUGCUUUAGCACCAGAUAUAUAUUAAAGAAAAUUAUCGUAGGUGGAUGAACAUAGGUAAAAGGAAGAAUUGGGCUCAAUUUUAAUAUGCAGCAGAUUGAGAGAGCAGUAGCUUUCUGGGCUAGGAAAUAUGUGUUACCGACUCUUCCUGUAUUUAUAUUAAACUUAGCAUUUACUUUUAUUUUCAUUAACUCAACGUGCGCGCAUGUGCUAUGGCGCAUAAUAGGCUUGGUGUGUUGCAUAUUUAUCCAUUAGUUAUUAAUUUUUUACCUUAGACAAUAGUAUCCAUUGGCCCUAUACAAAGGCCACUCAAUGUGUAGCCAGAAUGAAAACUCCAGACCUUACAUACGCAAGCUACCUAUAGAGUUUGUUAAUAUUCCACAGUUGAGGCACCUCCUAAUAGGACACAUAUCUAAAGUACCAAAGGGGAUUGGAACAAUGGUGAUAAAACUUGCUUUGGCGUGUAUGCUGGAGAUGGGCUAGCAAGUGAAUUAGGCAUCUUAAUGCAAGUAUGAAAACUUGGUGCUGAGCUUGUGUCUGAAGAUCAUGCUAGUGAACCAUUUGCAGCUAUCAUGAAGAUGGAUAACCUUGUCUGCCUGUCACUGGAAGUAGAAGGAGCCGUUUUUGAAGUUGACCUUUUACCUGAAAUGGAACUGUUUUCUCCUCUGCCUCUACUUCAAUAGCUUUGUUUAGGUGGAGGGUUAGUUGAAAUGUGCAGUUAGCUUGCCUCCCUGGAAAAUCUUACCACUUCAGUUUUCUCAUUUUCAAAUAUGCUGGAGAACCCAACUUCAGUCCUUCAGUUUCUUCCCAUAUUAAAGCAUCUCACCUUAUGGAAUGCCUAUGAGGUAAAAUACAUAGGGAAGGAAUUUUGCCAAGUUGGAAACGCUCGCAAAUUCUUCUCAUUCUGUUGGAAAAUGGAGGGUUAUGUUCUGAUAUCAGGUUGAAAAAACAAAUGAGAGAGUAGAAAAUAUUGUUCAGCAAAGAUUAAAUCAAAAUGCUUCACAAUAACACAAC
rnacentral:misc_RNA from 1 species